CACAUCCAUUGUUGUGAUUCAAGCUACAGUGAAGGCGAGAUCUUUAAUUCUAUUUAUAAUCAAAGUGAGAUCUUUGAUUCUUGACCUCGAAUGCUAAAAUAGUUUUAAUGCGUACCUUCUUGUUGUUUUUAGGAGAUGGCAUAAUUAUGGAAUCACUCAAGUAUACACUAAUUUUAACCAAUCAAAACUCAAAGAAACUUUGCAAGAGGUCAAUAUAUGGAUUUGACAGAACCAAACUCCUCAUACUGGUGAUAUGAAGAGUUUUGCGAAAAAUUCACAAGGCAAAUGGAAAAAUAUUUAUCGAGGCAAAAUGUGGACUGAGACUCAUAAGACAAAAGUUGGAUAUUAUGUAACUGAGGCGACUAGAGAUAUUGGGCAAACGUGCUAUCGACUUUGACUCGUCCGCAACUCUAGCCAGUCUCUUGCAUAUCAG